rfam:Schistosoma margrebowiei strain Zambia genome assembly, scaffold: SMRZ_scaffold0002808
GCACUGCUAAAGAGUCUCACAACAAGACGAAACGGCCGUUCAGUGC